AUUUAAUUGCAUGGGGAUGUCUGGAGUGAGAUGAGCUUACUCCUGGAAGGAGAUGGAUUGUGCAAAAUCAUCCGGCUGUACGACUUGUGGGUAGUGAUGUAUCAAAAACAAGGCAAUCGCAUAUGAAAGAUCACUCUUUCACCACUGCCUGUUAUUGUGCCUGAAUGUGCUGGCCCACUGCUGUGCUGCCAAUCUGAUUUGAAGAAUUUCAACUGCCUCAUUCAACCGCAAUACGUGAUGACGGAAGAACAAGGAAGAACAGGGAUAUGUUUUUGAAGUGGUGGUGCUGCAUUUGCCAGAAUUACAGCAGAGGAGACAAAGUCUCACUGUGGGUGAAAGGACCAAAAAUCAUCUCUCGUACAGCUGAAUCUAUAAAGAUUGUAAGUGCUUUGGUCCAGGGAAAGUCUCUCGUCUCCAGUUAA
rnacentral:lncRNA from 1 species